CCCGGAAGUUAAAAUAAUUCUUUCAAAUUAAAAGCCUAGAUUAACGCGUAGCUUCGUGCAAGCACAUACUGCGCAACACACUGAACAUAUUUUAGUCCAA